rnacentral:misc_RNA from 1 species
AAGUCGUAACAAGGUUUCACCCUCUGCGGAAGCCUUGGCCCCCAGUCUACCGUGUGGUAGGCGACAUCAAUACUGUGCUUGAACGUCAGCCCUGACGACCAGCAGCUUUGCUCGUAAAGUCCACAGACCAAAUGUUGGUGGCCCACCUGUGGGUUCAGAUAUGCUCGGCCCGCACCUGGAAGGGUGCUGAGUUCGCGUUCCGUAGGUGAACCUGCGGAAGGAUCAUUACUGAGUUCUUGCCCUUACGGGUAGAUCUCCCACCCUAUGUCUACACACCUUUGUUGCUUUGGCGGGCAGCCCCUCACCAGGCUCUCGCUGGCUUCGGCCAGCGUCCCCGCCAGAGGACCCAAAACUCUGUUUUUAGUGUUGUCCGAGUACUAUAUAAUAAGUGAAAACUUUCAACAACGGAUCUCUUGGUUCUG